UACGGAGGGGGCUAGCGUUGUUCGGAAUUACUGGGCGUAAAGCGCACGUAGGCGGCUUUGUAAGUUAGAGGUGAAAGCCCAGGGCUUAACUCUGGAAUUGCCUUUAAGACUGCAUCGCUAGAAUCGUGGAGAGGUGAGUGGAAUUCCGAGUGUAGAGGUGAAAUUCGUAGAUAUUGGGAAGAACACCGGUGGCGAAGGCGGCCCACUGGGCUGUCACUGACGCUGAGGCGCGAAAGCUCGGGGAGCGAACGGG
rnacentral:rRNA from 1 species